GCCCGGUUAGCUCAAUCGGUAGAGCGUGAGACUCUUAAUCUCAAGGUUGCGGGUAAGUUCAUCCUGUUCGAUUCGUACAUCGACCA